rnacentral:rRNA from 1 species
GAUGAACGCUGGCGGCGUGCCUAAUACAUGCAAGUCGAGCGAACAGAUGAGGAGCUUGCUCCUCUGACGUUAGCGGCGGACGGGUGAGUAACACGUGGAUAACCUACCUAUAAGACUGGGAUAACUUCGGGAAACCGGAGCUAAUACCGGAUAAUAUAUUGAACCGCAUGGUUCAAUAGUGAAAGACGGUUUUGCUGUCACUUAUAGAUGGAUCCGCGCCGCAUUAGCUAGUUGGUAAGGUAACGGCUUACCAAGGCAACGAUGCGUAGCCGACCUGAGAGGGUGAUCUGCCACACUGGAACUGAGACACGGUCCAGACUCCUACGGGAGGCAGCAGUAGGGAAUCUUCCGCAAUGGGCGAAAGCCUGACGGAGCAACGCCGCGUGAGUGAUGAAGGUCUUCGGAUCGUAAAACUUUGGUAUUAGGGAAGAACAAAUGUGUAAGUAACUAUGCACGUCUUGACGGUACCUAAUCAGAAAGCCACGGCUAACUACGGG